UACAGAGGGGGCAAGCGUUGUUCGGAAUUACUGGGCGUAAAGGGCGCGUAGGCGGCCCGCUAAGUCGAACGUGAAAUCCCCGAGCUCAACUCGGGAACUGCGUCCGAUACUGGCGGGCUUGAAUCCGGGAGAGGGAUGCGGAAUUCCAGGUGUAGCGGUGAAAUGCGUAGAUAUCUGGAGGAACACCGGUGGCGAAGGCGGCUCUCUGGUCCAUUUCUGACGCUGAGGUGCGAAAGCUAGGGGAGCAAACGGG
rnacentral:rRNA from 1 species